rnacentral:rRNA from 1 species
UUAGCCCUAAACCUCAAUAGUUAGACAACAAAACUAUUCGCCAGAAUACUACAAGCAACAGCUUAAAACUCAAAGGACUUGGCGGUGCUUUAUAUUCCCCCUAGAGGAGCCUGUUCCAUAAUCGAUAAACCCCGAUCCACCCCACCCUCUCUUGCUUAGCCUAUAUACCGCCAUCUUCAGCAAACCCUGAUGAAGGCUACAAAGUGAGCGCAAAUGCCCCCGCCGCAAAAACGUUAGGUCAAGGUGUAGCCCAUGGGACGGUAAAAAAUGGGCUACAUUUUCUACCCCAGAAAACCCUACGAUACCUCUUAUGAAAUCUAAGAGUCCAAGGAGGAUUUAGCAGUAAAU